GACGAACGCUGGCGGCGUGCCUAAUACAUGCAAGUCGAACGCAGUGGGGACGGGUGAGUAACACGUGGGUAACCUCCCAUCAGAGGGGAUAACACUUGGAAACAGGUGCUAAACCGAUACUGAUGGAUGGACCCGCGGUGCAGUAGCUAGUUGGUGGGGUAACGGCGCACCAAGGCCACGAUGCAUAGCGGGCCUGAGAGGGUGAUCGGCCACACUGGGACUGAGACACGGCCCAGACUCCUACGGGAGGCAGCAGUGGGGAAUAUUCGGCAAUGGGCGAAAGUCUGACGGAGCAACGCCGCGUGUGUGAAGAAGGUUUUCGGGUCGUAAAGCUCUGUUGUUAGAGAAGCGGUAUCUAAACAGAAAGCAACGGCUAACUACGUGCCAGCAGCCGCGGUAAUUC
rnacentral:rRNA from 1 species